UACGUGGGGGCCGAGCGUUGUCCGGAGUUACUGGGCGUAAAGGGCGCGCAGGCGGCGGCGUGGGUCCGGCGUGAAAGCCCCCGGCUCAACCGGGGAACGUCGUCGGGGACCGCGCCGCUUGAGGGCGGCAGGGGCCGGUGGAAUGCCUGGUGUAGUGGUGAAAUGCGUAGAGAUCAGGCGGAACACCCGUGGCGAAGGCGGCCGGCUGGGCCGUCCCUGACGCUGAGGCGCGAAGGCGUGGGGAGCGAACGGG
rnacentral:rRNA from 1 species